UGAUAUACAAUGCAUCUUUUCAGAGACGAAAUUGUCCUUGAGAUUGAGACCUCGGAUAAUGAGCAUCAUAGUUAUGACACUGAAGAUAACCAAAUUGUUAGAUACGAGCGUAUGGCUGAAGACGCUCCACCACUUAACAAUGAUUAUGACGCUGAAGACGCCCCACCAACGGAUGCUCCCACUACCACUAAGAAAAGAAAAGGGCAAGGUCCUACGAAAAACCUGAAAGUCACAGAACCCAUGCAUUUGGAAUACAAUGCAUUGGGUCAAGCCUGCAGAAAAUGGCGCAGGCAAUAUGGAAAACAAGUGGGCCUAUAUAUUCGCAAGAUUUCCAUAUUGUACGCAUGGAACGAGAUUCCAGAGGGUUUGAAGAACUCUCUAUAGAAUGAUAUUGUGAAUCUUUUUCACAUCGAAAGCAAUGAGGUCAAGAAGAAUGUGUUUCUUUUCGCCGUUGCUGAAAGAUUCAGAGAUUUCAAAUCCAAGCUAGUAACCGGCUGGAUCACGAAAAAGCGUGCCCGUACGACCAAAAAGGUCAAAACGGCAAACGAAGGUGGAGAGCAAGCACCUUCGAAGAUGCCCUACGAAAUAUGGGGUCACAUAUCAAAGAAGGAAUGGGAGGCUUUUGUUGCCAAAAGAACAACUCCCAUUGAAGUUGAAAAGUGUGGUAUAGCUUCUGAAUCAGCAAGCAAAAGGAAGUUUUACCAUCGCUUGGGCCCAAAAACGUAUGAUGAGGUUCGAAAAGAGUGGGUGGAUGGGGGUUUAUACCCCAAUCAAAGUCCAGCCACGCCCUCAUCUACGACUACCUCCGCAACCGUGAAUAAUCCUACUAGAGAUCGGGUGCGAGAUUGGUAUUGUGGGCUUCAUUCCCGAGAUGCAAGUGGUAAAUUUACCAUUAAUGAUCCGGGAACGAAGAAGGUUGCUAAUGCUGUGAUGGGUUGGAAGGAAAAAGAAGCUACGGGGGAGUUCACCCCAAGAGACAAUGUUGAUGCAUUGCAUAUGGUCUUAGGGAAAGACCAUAGAGGGCGGGUAGUCGGAAAAGGAGGCGUCUGCGUGGAGUUAUAGAAGGCAUUUGGCAAAGAGUGUGUUGCUACUCAAUCUCGAACGAUGCCACCUGAUGAAGUAGCAACCCUCCGAGCAGAAAUUACGAAGGACGUUCUCGCCAAAGUGGCACUCGUGUUGCAGAAGAUAGGAGCACCCAUUGUUGACUUGGCAAACCUGAUUGUCGAGGAUCAGCAAAGUCAACAUCGGGAUCCUAACGCUUCGGUCGAGCCACACCCGAGCCCAUUACCUCCGUAGCACUUCAGCCCAUUACUACCCCUGAAGGGCAAAAUCCCACACCGGAGACCAUGAACUCCAUUGCUCAAAAUCCGGAGCCAACUCCCGAGCCAGUGGUACAGGAGGCGACUUUUUGUUCUCUUUUGCUGCCUCAGUUAUGUUGCUAGUGAUGGCGACUUAACUGAGGUUGCAUAUGGUGUGGUACAGCUAACCAAAGAGGGCCAAACAGUGCAUUCAAUGCCUGUUACAAGUAGCCACAUCGGUGUGACCGUGGAAACUAUUCUAAAGGGGUUUGAAGAUUUCUCACUCCCAGUUCCAAUGCCAGAAUGGAGCCUUGAGAAACUAUCAGACGCCCUAGGUAGUUUCGUCACAUGGCCAUAUGCUUGGG